rnacentral:misc_RNA from 1 species
GUUUUUGUGCUCUGGUUUAAAAACCAACUUAAAUUAAGAAUUCCCCUCCAAAAUCAAGGUCCCAGUAAGUAAUUAACCCCAUCAAAUCAAUCAACAGAAUUAAUUUACCUAUAUCAAGAUUCUCCCCCCAAAACUUUGCAUACAUAUGUACAGAUCUUAAAAACCUUUAAUUUUCUCUUUCUAAUUUCAUGAAGAUGUGGGCUGAUGGCCAUGGGCUUGUGUCUGAUCAGAAAAUGGAUAGAACCGUGGCCUUGCCGUUACCAGGGACAACCCUGUGGCUGUGGCUUUAGAUGUGGGUUCACUGUUAUUAUUGUUAUCUUUGUAGGUGGUACUGGUGGCCUUCAUCAUGGUGCUUGGAGUAGCGGUGGUGGUGGUGGUGGUUGUCGCGGUAGCUGUGGAGGUGGUGGC